CUGCCUGCGCCUUGCUGCUCCUAGGCGCCCCAGCCGGCCGCUCCGCCGAGCCCCCGACACCCCCUCGCCGCCCCUCCGCACCCAGCCGCCAGCGGCGGCGGCGGCCGCUCCCCCGGGACCCCGCGGCGGGGAGGUCCGCUUUGCCGAGAGCCACCCCCCUAUAGCGACACACAGCUCGGCUGGGAGCCGGGGAGGGGGGCGGGCGGUUGCUUUCUGAGUUGGCCGGAUAACGUGGGUAAUUUCUUCCCCAGCACCCCGCCCCCCGGAGAAGCGGGCCAGGGGGGAGUGGAGAGCGGAGGGGAAAGUGAACGGCAAAGGACUGAAAGUGUCACAUUCACUGGCUCUGAUCUGAAGGCGGCGGAGGGACCCGGCCUCACCCCCCCCCAGCCCCCGAGAGGAGGAGGAGGAAAAGGGGCGGUUUAGUGGCAGUGCCGGCUGUGCCGAGGCGGCUCAGCCUGUGCUGUGUGCGCCAGCGGGGAGGGGAGAGGGGGUUGUGUGUGUGUGUGGUGCCUCUCCCCUGGGUUGCAUGCAGAGCUAACUGUGUGGCUGUCUCUCUCCGGGCCGGGGAACUGCACUCUUAAAAUAAACCCGGUACAAUGCACCAGCCUGACUCAGCCGCAGACAUUAGUCCUAGGAAGAUGGCGCACCCGGCAAUGUUUCCUAGAAGGGGCAGCAGCGGCGGCGGCAGCAGCUGCGUUACUGCGCUCAAUGCACCAGGUACCGGCGCUGGUAGCGGUGCCCUCUCCACCGAGGAUUAUCCGCCGCCUCUGCUCAUCCAGCCGCCUCCUCCGUCUCUUGCAGCAUCUUCAUCGGCGGGUCCACAGCUGCCACCCCCUCCUCCACAAAGCCUGAACCUCCUCGCCCAGUCUCAGCUCCAGCCACAGCCUCUUGCACAAGCUGGAGCCCAAAUGAAAAAGAAAAGUGGCUUCCAAAUUACCAGCGUGACCCCUGCUCAGAUCUCUGCCAGUAUGAGCUCUAACAACAGCAUAGCAGAGGACACGGAAAGCUACGACGACCUGGAUGAGUCUCACACUGAAGACCUGUCUUCUUCAGAAAUUUUGGACGUUUCUUUAUCCAGGGCCACUGACUUGGGUGAACCUGAAAGGAGCUCCUCCGAAGAGACUUUAAAUAACUUCCAAGAGGCUGAGACUCCUGGGGCCGUCUCUCCAAACCAGCCUCACCUUCCUCAGCAGCAUCCCCCUUUGCCACAUCACCCACAGCAGAGUGUUGUGAUCAAUGGAAAUGUUCACCCCCAUCAUGGUCACCAUCACCACCACCUUCAUCAUCACCAUCAUGGGCAUCAUCAUCCAUCACAUCCUGGGGUGGGCAGUACACCAGCUUCUGGAGGACCACCCCCAAGUCCAUCAUUUAGAAAGCUGUCCACAACUGGAAGCUCUGACAAUGUUAUCACAACUGCACCAGUUUCUGCUGCAUCAUCCUCUGGUACUCCUGCAUCUGCCCUGUCUAAUAUUCGCACUACAAGUACUCCUGGCAAUAUAGGUGUAAGUCCUGUUACUGGAACUAGUACGUUAAGUAAUGUGGUUGGUGGUAGUCCUAGCAUGACAAGCAGCAUGCUUGGUAACGUUAAUAUAAACUUAAGCAACAUCACAAGUACUGCUAAUGUACAUGCUUUGUCUGGAACCAGCAGCAAUGUUAAUGUGAAUAUCUUGAGUGGUGGUGGCAAUGGUACGAGUGCUUCCUCUAAUGUCAUUAAUAAUGUUACUAAUCCAACUGCAGGAAUGGCAGUGGGAUCAAGUCAGCAGCAGCCUGCAGCUGGCACAUCAAGGUUUAGAGUUGUAAAAUUAGAUUCCAGUUCUGAACCUUUUAAAAAAGGUAGAUGGAUAUGCACUGAAUUCUAUGAUAAAGAAAACGCUGUAGCAGUUACAGAAGGAGUAGCAGUAAACAAAGUGGUAGAGACUAUAAAACAAAAUCCACUUGAAGUGACUUCUGAAAGGGAGAGCACCAGUGGGAGUUCUGUUAGCAGCAAUGUAAGCACACUGAGUCACUACACAGAAAGUGUGGGAAGCGGGGAAAUGGGAGCACCUACUGUGAUACAACAGCAGACAUUUCAAGGUGUGGGUCCACAGCAGGUGGAUUUUAGUUGUGCUGGACCUCAGACUAUUCCAGCAUCCAAUAUACCGCAAAGUAUUUCUCAAUCACAGCUUGCACAAGUACAAUUGCCUUCUCAAGAAGUAAAUUAUCCACAGCAAAAGCAAGGAGUCCAGUCUUCAACACAGGCUAGUCUAACAACUGUUACUGGUGUUCAGCCAACUCCAGUUAAUGUAGUAGGUGUAUCAUCUUUAGGUCACCAACAACCUGCUAUUCCAAGUGUGGCUCAGCAGCAGUUAUCAUAUUCUCAACCCUCACGGCCUGUGCAAACUUUGCCUGUUGUACCACAACAGCAGUUACAGUAUGGACAACAGACACUUCCCAUGCAGAUGGCCCCUGCACGAGUUAAACCAGUGAAUCAGAGUUCUGUGACAGGGACCAUACCGGACUACAUACAACAUCAGCAGAUACUUCAACCUCCAGUGCCUGCUGUGCAAUCCAGCUCUACAGGAGUAGGAGCAGGAACACCGGUUCCUGUUGCUCAGGCACCAAGCAUCCAACCUUCUGUACAAGUACAUCCUGCUGUGGCACCAGCUCAGCCUGUUGCACAUGCUCAGACAGCAGUGCCACCUGUAGGUACUAGUGGUCAAAUUAUUAACAUUGCACAACAAGGAAAUGUACCUGCUGUGGUGCAGCAGCCACCUGUUGCAAACCAAAUUACACCUUCAGUUAUGCAGCAAAGUGCUGCUCCUCCAUCUUCACAAGUGGUGCAGCCUGUUCAGACUGGGAUAAUUCAGCAGGGACUACAAGCUGGUGCUUCAGGCCUUCCUCCGCAAAUGGUAAUUGCUUCACAAAAUGUUUUGUUACCUGUACAACCCCAGGCACAAGUAGAAACUGUAGUUCAAGGAAUGACCAGCCAACCAUUGCCUGCAGUUAGCCCUAUACCUUCUACUAGUGCUGUUCCUGCUCCAAGUCAAGUUAGUUCAAAUGUACCUCCUGAUAUACCUUCUGCUUCUGUAAGUUUGGGUCCAUCACAGAACAUAGCACAAGCUUCAGCUGUGCAAAAUGGGAAUUUGGUUCAAAGUGUUAGUCAGCCUCCCUUGAUAUCAACUAGUAUAAGUAUACCAGUGGCACAAAAUGUGCCACAACAGAUACCGCUAAACUCUACACAGUUCUCUGCACAAUCACUAACUCAGUCAAUUGUAAGCCAAAUUGAAGAUGGCAGGCGCCCUACAGAACCGUCCUUAGUUGGUUUACCGCAAGCUGCCAGUGGUGAAAGUGGUGUUGGAGCAUCAGCUGUUUCAGAUGGGAGUGGCAGCAACAUAACAUCGUCUGCUUCCCUUUUUCCACUGAAAGUACUGCCAUUGACAACCCAUCUUGUUGAUGGUGAGGAUGAGAGAAAUGACUUCUUCAGAGGCAGCAGCGAACAUUUUUCAAGGAAAUUUCUGGCACCCCUUUCCCUAGAGACUGAAAGCAUCCUUCAUGGCAGUUGCUUUUAAUUCAAUGUGGAACACACCCCUCACCCUACAAGACUGUGGAACAGACUGUUCAAAGUAUUUCCCUGCUGAACUGACCACUUGAAAAAAACAUUGAGGGAGUCUUGAUCCUAACAGCUGGUCUUACAAUACAGAAUGACUGAGUCUAACAUUGCACACUGGUAUGCCUGUGAAGAGGCAUUACCAAAGUUAAUUAUGUCUAGUGCAAAUGCUGGGAGGUCUGACUGAGCAAAGCAGCUGACCCCCCCCAAAGCAAAGGGAAGAAACCAACAGGAAAGAUGAUUGAAGAAAGGAAGAAGACAGAAUCCAAGAAAUAUCAGUGUGAGUCAGUUUCAGGCAGAAGCUCCCAAGUUGCAGAGUCAAAAUGAAAUUUCCUUUGGGGAAGGAUCUGCUUCCAGGAUUUGCUUCUCCCUUGUUCCCUGGGUAGACACUGAAUUCUUGAACGCCCCCAUCAGUGUUGCAGGUAGGUUGAGCCCACUUGGGGAUAGCCGCUUGUAUUGCCUUCUCAAGUGUGGAGGACUGACUUGGCUGGUUCUUUGCCGUUUCUUCUUUGUUGCCCACCUUUCUAGACUGAGAGGAGAAGAGCUUCGGGCUCAACAGAUUUUUGUGAGAAAUAAGGAAGGCAUUUCUCUCCCCACUCACUUUGCUGUAGUGUGGAAAGUUUCCUGUUGAGGGGUUUAUAUGUGCACCUCAUUGUCUCCAACCCCAAAUCAGUACUGCUUUGUGCUGUAAGCUCUCCUACUGCUCUUCCUCUCUCCCCUCUCUGCACAAAAGAGCUGAGAUACUAUGACUGUGGAAACCAUGUAGGCGGACCCAGGCACUCUUUUCUCUCAGCCAGGGAAAUCUGAUUUACUAGUUUGUGCAUCGCUGGAUUUUGCAAUUCCCGUGAUACUUUGAUUUGCCUGUGUGAGUACAAUGGAGCAGGGUGCCAGGGCAAGAACGCUCACUGAUCAAAGGAGAUGUUGCUGACCCCUCCUUGCAGCUAUGCCAGUGGCCCAGAGAAUGUUUUUAGUGUGAGGUUUUUCAGUAGGAGCUUAACUGUAAGCUCUCCCUCCUCACUUCACGCCACAUGCUGCAGCAGCAGCUUCUCCCUCAGACUGCCCACUGCCAGACCUCCCCAUCUCCAUCUGUGUCAUAGCUGAGGCAGACAGGCUGUUGUGGGUGUCCCGUGGCUGUAACCACAGAAAUCAAACCUGCAACGAGCAAUGGGAUUCUAAGAGGGCUUUUGCAGCCUCAAAGGUCCAGGCCCCUUUUCCCCAGUCUUUCUUUCAUACCAAGAAAAUUCAGCUAGAACUAUGUUGGACUCAAUACUACCCAGGUGGAUCCAGUGGCUCUUCUCUCCCUCCUCACUCCCCAAAAAUUACUUCAUGAACUUUCAGCCCUUACAGUGCCAUGAGCCCUCAGUGGAAGACCUUGAGAAGGGCCUUCUAAGAUUCCAGACAAUGAGUCUAUUCUUGAAUCUUGACCUUUCACAAGUAAGAUUCCCUGACACAAAUUGGGUUAUGGAAGAGGAGGCGUUUGUUCGUUGUUUUUUUUUCUUUUUCUUCCAGAUCAUGCUGAAUCCUUUGAGCCAGAGUAUUAGCUGUCUUUGGGGUGGAAGCCCAGACAGAUUAUAGCUCCUAGGAAAUAAAUGGUCAUUAAGGAGACAUUCUGGUCUCCUGUAGUUCUUCAUUGAAGUGUUAUGCGGAAUGUUUGUUUGAUCUGGCCUCUCUUACGUUGCUGCCCCAGGGUUCAAGUAAAUACAUCGAUAAAGCUUGCAAGUCUCCAGCUGUACUACCGUGAGCAGAUCUUCAAAUCUCAAAUUAAGUGAAGUUGGGCCUCUUAUUCCUCUGCAUAGGAGACCUCAGAGGAAUCUGUGAAACCUGCUUUCUCUUGUGCUCCAGACACUGCUGCUUUUAUAAGACCAACUCCCCCGCCCCCACCACAACCUCCCCUGGCACCUCUGGUUCAAUUUCUGUAACUAUAAAGUAUAUCUGUAAAGAGAAUUAACAUUAGCCUUUAUCAGUAGUGGAACAGCAUCUCCUCCCCCCACUUCCCCAAUGAUCUGCUUCUGGCAAUCGGAAUAAACUAAUCAGAUGCUUGUGCCACCUUCCACUUAGUUUCUUAAAUCAGUUCACCAUGAAACAUUUUUAACUAAUGCCUAGGUCUUUCAUUAAAUUAACCAGCAUACCUAAAUUGCCUAACAAUCUUAACACAGCCCCCAGGCUACAGCUUCAUGGCAGUUGUGAUUUCUUAUUAUGUUGGAAUGCAUUUCAGUUGAAGUAUAUUGUCUAAAAAUAAUUGUUUAGAUAGUGCUGCUUAAAUACAUACUUAUGUAGUGAGACAUUCGCAGAGGAUUUACUUAAAUUGGGCCCUUCAGAUUAAAAAAUCAUUCAUGUGGCUUUUCCUUUGCCAAGAAUAGCUAUCAAACUGCUUAUUGCCUACAUCUUGAUUUCUGCUGUAGUCAUAGUCUGUAAAAUACACAAUUUAUAAUUUAGUGUUUUUUAGAAAAUUGAUAAAAUGUUUGUUAAAAUAUGGGACUGCAGUAACUGAUUGAAAAUAAAUUUAUUUAAACUGAUUUCUUUAAUCCACAAACACAAUUGUGUGGUGAUGCCAUAUAAAGCUUAGUGUGGUAAAUCAAAAGUGAAGAUGUAUUUAACUUUUCAAAGUAAGACAGCUUUCUUUAAAAUCAGUAUCUCACUUACGCAUAUUGAAUAGCUUAUUUACUAUAGGUAUAUUUAUUUUGACUUUUUUGCAUGCAGAGAUUUAAAAUCCAAUUGUAGAAGUUACUUAAGAGCUUCAGGACUAAACAUCUUUAAAUCCAAGAAAAGGGCAAAAUAUGUGAUCUUAAACACUGGUGGUAUAAGUGCUGAAUGACGGCCUAAGUAUGUGACUAUGUCCCAUUGAUCUAAAGUUAAGCACAUGCUUAAGUGCCCUUCCUGAGUAGGCAUCCUUCUCUGAAUUGAGGUAUUACAUAACUUUAUUUGGUGAAGGAUAAUCUAAAUUACUCUGCACAUCUACUGAGAAUUGUUUUAAUAGUAAAGUCUCUAAAGUCAUAAUGUCUAGUUUUAAAAAAGCUUUAAAAAAAUUACUUAGCUCUGUUACAACCCCUUGGAAGCUUAAAACUAUCCAUAUUAAAAUUUAUUUCCAUUCAUGAAAGUAAAUUUUUUUGUUAACACUUUUAAAAAUAAUAUAGUUUUUUGUUGGUAUUUUGAUACUUCUGCUCUGUGCACCAGCAUUGUGUAAUGUAUUCUUUGGUACUCUGAU